rnacentral:rRNA from 1 species
GCGUAGCGGAUGGCCAUGCGGCGCAUUAGCUAGUCGGCGGGGUAACGGCCCACCGAGGCGACGAUGCGUAGGGGUUCUGAGAGGAAGGUCCCCCACACUGGUACUGAGACACGGACCAGACUCCUACGGGAGGCAGCAG